UACGUAGGGGGCAAGCGUUGUCCGGAAUUAUUGGGCGUAAAGCGCGCGCAGGCGGUUUUGUAAGUUUGGUGUCUAAGACUGGGGCUCAACCCUGGAACGCACCGAAAACUGCAAGACUUGAGUGCAGGAGAGGAAAGUGGAAUUCCACGUGUAGCGGUGAAAUGCGUAGAGAUGUGGAGGAACACCAGUGGCGAAGGCGACUUUCUGGACUGUAACUGACGCUGAGGCGCGAAAGCGUGGGGAGCAAACAGG
rnacentral:rRNA from 1 species